rnacentral:rRNA from 1 species
UACGGAGGGGGUUAGCGUUGUUCGGAAUUACUGGGCGUAAAACGCGCGUAGGCGGAUUAGAAAGUUGGGGGUGAAAUCCCGGGGCUCAACCCCGGAACUGCCUCCAAAACUACUAGUCUAGAGUUCGAGAGAGGUGAGUGGAAUUCCGAGUGUAGAGGUGAAAUUCGUAGAUAUUCGGAGGAACACCAGUGGCGAAGGCGGCUCACUGGCUCGAUACUGACGCUGAGGUGCGAAAGUGUGGGGAGCAAACAGG